rnacentral:rRNA from 1 species
UACGGGGGGGAGCAAGCGUUUGUUCGGAUUUACUGGGCGUAAAGGGCGCGUAGGCGGUCGUGACAAGUCACUUGUGAAAUCUCCGGGCUUAACUCGGAACGGUCAAGUGAUACUGUCGGACUAGAGUACAGAAGGGGCAACUGGAAUUCUCGGUGUAGCGGUGAAAUGCGUAGAUAUCGAGAGGAACACCUGCGGCGAAGGCGGGUUGCUGGGCUGAUACCACGCUGAGGCGCGAAAGCCCAGGGGAGCGAACGGG